AUGGAUAAAUAUGAGGACGCUUGGGUCCUCGGGUUCUUGGGCAAAAGGCCCAACCUCAAAAUACCCCAAACGGGUCACACCUCCAGGGAUUCAUUCUCACAUUCAAAACAAGGUAGAAAAAGGGAAAGAAAAAGUUCAUGUCCAAAUACCAUACUCUGAUCCAAAUACGAAUGAAACAAAAUUUCACGACACCGGAGAAAAAUUCACUCGAUGGCAUCCACGACUCAAUGAAAACUCACCUCAACGUUCGAUGUACUCUUUCACUCGUGGUUGAUUAGGAUGAAGAUGCAACUUCGUUUGGAUCCGUGCGUUCCGUUGAGACGAAGAUGAAGCCUUCAGGUUUGUGCGCGUGCUAUGUGUUGUUGUUGUCCGAUUCUGAAUUGGGUUGCGUUUGCGUCGUUGCUGUUGAUUCUUUGAUUUUCCGUUGAUGAUGAAGAGUGAAGUGUUGGAAGUGUGAUGAGAUUCGUGAUUGAAGCGAUGAAUCCGUUUUCUUCACGAAUUGUUUGUUGAAGGAUUCACGAUGAUGAAUGAUGAAGAGUGAAGUUCUCUCCUCCCAAAAAUUUGAUGCAUACAUGGAAUGAGGCAAGGCUUGAACAAAGGUUUCAACCCGGCUUGACAAGGCAUGGUGUGGCAUCAAAUUUGAAAAGGAUUUGGAGUGAACUUUGGAGAUUAGCAAUAUAGUUUAGGAACAUUGUAAUGGCUUGUACGUAGGGUUAGGCAUAGUCAUGUAAUUGGAUUGAUGGUGUGAAUGUAAUUGGAAUGUGGUUAUGAAUCUUGGAGUUUGGAUAUUGGAAUGUCAUGGAAAUACUAUGGAAUUUUGUUGUAAAUUUGAAAUGAACCUUGUGAAUUUGAAAUGAUAAUGAUGUAACUGUUUAAUUUUGAAUAUAUAUGAAAUGGUUUCUAUAUGAAA